CUCCUCUCAGGGUCACACCUAGAGAGUUUCCAGCCCUCUACCAGUUUUGGUUUAGGGAGGGAGAGUCAAGCACAGACAUUCCCAUUCCAAUCCUAGUUUGGCCAGUGGCUAGUGAGUGGAAGGCAAUCUGCUACAAGU